ensembl:lncRNA
CCAGGCAAUGUGAUUAUUCACCAGAUGACAGAGGAAAAUAUUGACUAACUUGCUCAAGGUCGUAGUGAGCUAAUGACCAAGCUGGGAUUCAAUGCCCAUCUGACAGAUGUCAAAGUCCUGGAGAGUCUCACUGCACCUUUCUGACUCACUGAACUCACACAGGGCCCUGUUGUGGUGGGGACUGACACGGAAGUGCCCAGGAAGUGAGGAAGUUGGACUUCCAGGAAGGGCAGGAUUAGAGAGGUUUUGGAUGCUGAUAUGCAAAGGGAGUGACAAUGAGCAGCCUUUAAGAAGCCUCCUUGGGUAUCUAGCGUCCAGCCGCUCUUGUCUGGUUCAGGGAGCCAGUGCCGGUGUCAGUCUGUGACGCUGACUGCAGAAGAUACAGCCACACUUGGCCCCAGGCGAAAACUGCAUCACCUGGAGACCUGGCCCCUCUGAGCCACUCCCAGUCACCAGAGGGACUCGGCUCUGACCAUGGAUGACGGCUGGAUGGUAGGACUUGGGCUUUGGCACAGUUCUGACCAAAGGGUAAGCACUGUGCUUUUGGAGAGAAUGGACCUCUGGCGGGGACCCAGGACCGACACCCGGCCUCCUGUAGGGCCAUGACUAAGCCAGCUUUCUUUCAUUCCAUCACCCGAAGGUCCUGGAUGAGUGUGUUGGAAUCCGCCCACCGAGCUUCUCCUCCUCUUCCUUCUCCUUAGAGUGUGGCAUUUGGAACUGGACACUCAGGCCAAGCUGUCACCUGACGGCUGGCAUCAGAAUUAGUGGGGACUGAACUGCAGCCGGAGACCCCGUGCAAAGCAGGCAGGGUACAAAAACCUAGUGUCCUCGAGGACACAGCAGGAUUCAAAUGAGGAAGGGUAUAAACCAAAGACAUUCCACUCAGAAAAGAAAUAAAGGGGAUGAUAAAUUCCCAAAAUGGUUCUCAGCCUCACUCCCACAAAAAUUCAAACAAUAAAGCACUUUUUAAAUCUUGGUGAAGUUUGGUAACACCAAUCUUUAAGAUAGUGUAGAGACAGCACUCCUUCCCUGUCAGUGGACCACAAGUGAAAACAUCCUUUCUAUAGAGCUUUUCGGAAUCAUCCGUGAUGCAUGUACACUUUGGCCCAGUGGUUGUGUUUUGGGGAGUUUUUCAGAUAGGUGGAGUCACACAAACGCACAAGAUAUCAGGCAAGAAAGUACAUUGCAACAUUUUUCUUACAAUAGCAAAAAACUGGAAGAAUUUUGAUGCCCAUGAAUAGGGAAUAUCAGGCAAACAUUUUUAAAGAUGUACAAACUAUCCUUAGCAAAAGAGUGAAUGGUUGAAUAGCAGAUAUAGUAUGAGCUUUUUGUAUAAAACAACAAAUGCAUACAUGCAUUUGCGCAUCUGUGUGUGUCUUCAUGCUCUGUAUGCUUCUGCAGGGAUGCAAAGGUCUAAAACGUACAUAUAUAAUAAUAAUAGUUGCUAAUAAUAGUGAGACUUAGAGUGGGAAUACUGGUGUGGGAAAGAGUUUUAAAUUUUUACUUUAUCACUUAUAUACAACUUGAAUAUUUUUUAAAUGAAUAUUAUUUCUUUUAUAAUUCAAAUAAGGUUCAAGUAAAUAAUAAGGAAGUUAAAUAAAUAAGAAUAACCGAUACUAGGAAGUGGUGUCAAUAUUCUCUCCAAAGCAUCAAAGGCACUAACAAUAAUCUCAAUAAUAAUAGCACACACUUAGAUAGCCUUCCUUUG